CCUCUCUCUCUCUCUCUCUUUUCCUCCCUCCCUACCUCUCUUACACACACAGAUAAGCAAGUCCUGCAAGACCCACAUUCUUUUUGCUCUUUCAGGCCUUUUCAGGCGGUUCACAGGUAUGUUCUUUCUUCAUUUCUCUGUCAACCCUCGAGUGCUUUUCCAUGCCAGUGGUCUAAUAAAUAAAGUGGCCAAAUGGGCUUUGAGUCUUUUGAUGUUAAGCAAAAAUUAUCUGACACGACGUCUGUCCAAUGUUGGGACAUUAAGAUAUCCAUGAAUUGUAAGGUGGAGUGGAUAAUGGAGAGAGAGCAUAAUGAAGAUCUGGUAAAAGAUGAACUCUAGGAGAUUUUGUUUUUUAACAAAAAGGUGAAUGAAUUGGGAAGCUGUCAUCCUACCCACCUACCUAUCACGUUUUCAUGAUAUAUUAUCAUCGUUCUAUAGCAACUUUUGAUGGGGAAAAGAAAUACCACAGCCAGUUUGGGCCCUUUUGAUCAUUUAAGUAAAAGAUGUAUUUUAUGUCCUAUAUGCCACUAAUGACCUGGUCCGCACCAGGCACUAUAGGAGGAUAAAACAUGGGCAUCCAAUCAACAAGUUUGGACUCAUUUUUUCCACGCCACAUAUUCCUUCCACCUAAUCAUAAGCUAUGCAAUUAGAGCUUCUCCCUCUUCUGUUACAUAGAGUAAAACUGAUAUGUCUCUUGUGAAGUAGUUUAAAUACAAUUUUCUCAUCUUUGAUUUAUCCAUCUCAAUUAAACAUUAGACAGCUAUGUUCUGAAUUCUUCAGUUGUUAAGUUCUUAAUUAUAUUGCUUAUAAUUUUCCAGCCAGAAGUAGGGAAAAAUGGCUCAAAUCUUGGCACCCUCUUCGCAAUGGUAGAUGAGAAUACCAAAAAACUCAGCGCCUGCAAGUCCCAUGACAGCAGAGAUGUGGAGUUCUCUACUGUUGAAGCAGAACAAGAAAGGAACAGCAAAGAACACUGCCAGAUUUAGAGUGUUU
rnacentral:misc_RNA from 1 species